rnacentral:rRNA from 1 species
AACGAACGCUGGUGGCAUGCCUAAUACAUGCAAGUCGAACGAGAAAGCUCUUCGGAGUGAGUACAGUGGCGCACGGGUGAGUAACGCGUAGGUAACGUGCCUUGUAGUGGGGGACAACACCGGGAAACCGGUGCUAAUACCGCAUAAGCAAGUAAUUGGAAAGGUGGCUUCGGCUAUCGCUACAAGAUCGGCCUGCGUGACAUUAGCUUGAUGGUGGGGUAAUGGCCUACCAUGGCGACGAUGUCUAGCUGGUCUGAGAGGAUGAUCAGUCACACUGGAACUGAGACACGGUCCAGACUCCUACGGGAGGCAGCAGUAGGGAAUAUUGCGCAAUGGGGGAAACCCUGACGCAGCAAUGCCACGUGAGUGAGGAAGGCCUUAGGGUUGUAAAGCUCUGUCCUAUAGGAAGAAUGGCCAUCUGGUUAAUACCCAUUUGGUUUGACGGUACUAUAGAAGAAAGCACCGGCUAACUCCG